GCCCGAGUGGCGGAAUGGCAGACGCAGGGGACUCAAAAUCCCCCGGGGGCAACCCCGUGAGAGUUCGACUCUCUCCUCGGGCA
rfam:Gemmatimonadetes bacterium 13_2_20CM_69_8 13_2_20cm_scaffold_9550, whole genome shotgun sequence.